UCUUUGGGGGUGGGGAAGCUGCUCUGUGUGAUGCCGAGACAGUGGCACACACAGGUGACAGUGUGCACGUGUGUGAUGCUGAGAUGUAGACACACAUGUGUGAUGCCGAGACAGUGGGCACACACAGGUGACAGUGUGCACACAUGUGUGAUGCUGAGAUGUAGACACACAUGUGUGAUGCCGAGACAGUGGCACACACAGGUGACAGUGUGCACGUGUGUGAUGCUGAGAUGUAGCCACACAUGUGUGAUGCUGUGACAGUGCGCACACACAUGAUGCUAUGACAGUGGACACAUGUAUGUGAUGCUGAGAUGGUGUGCACACAUGCGUGAUGCUGAGAUGUGGACACAUGUGUGAUGCCAAGACAGUGGGGACACAUGUGACACUGUGACAGUAUGCGCACGUGUGUGAUGCUGAGAUGUAGCCACACAUGUGUGAUGCUGUGACAGUGGGCACACACAGGUGACAGUGUGCACACGUGUGAUGCUGAGAUGUAGACACACAUGUGUGAUGCUGUGACAGUGGGCACACACAGGUGACAGUGUGCACACGUGUGAUGCUGAGAUGUAGACACACAUGUGUGAUGCUGUGACAGUGGGCACACACAGGUGACAGUGUGCACACGUGUGAUGCUGAGAUGUAGACACACAUGUGUGAUGCUGUGACAGUGGGCACACACAGGUGACAGUGUGCACACGUGUGAUGCUGAGAUGUAGACACACAUGUGUGAUGCUGUGACAGUGGGCACACACAGGUGACAGUGUGCACACGUGUGAUGCUGAGAUGUAGACACACAUGUGUGAUGCUGUGACAGUGGGCACACACAGGUGACAGUGUGCACACGUGUGAUGCUGAGAUGUAGACACACAUGUGUGAUGCUGUGACAGUGGGCACACACAGGUGACAGUGUGCACACGUGUGAUGCUGAGAUGUAGCCACACAUGUGUGAUGCUGUGACAGUGGGCACACACAGGUGACAGUGUGCACAUGUGUGAUGCUGAGAUGUAGACACACAUGUGUGAUGCUGUGACAGUGCGCACACACAUGAUGCUAUGACAGUGGACACAUGUAUGUGAUGCUGAGAUGGUGUGCACACAUGCGUGAUGCUGAGAUGUGGACACACGUGUGAUGCCAAGACAGUGGGGACACAUGUGACACUGUGACAGUAUGCGCACGUGUGUGAUGCUGAGAUGUAGCCACACAUGUGUGAUUCUGUGACAGUGGGCACACACAGGUGACAGUGUGCACACAUGUGUGAUGCUGAGAUGUAGACACACGUGAUGCUGAGACAGUUGGGACACACGUGAUGCUGUGACAGUGUGCACAUGUGUGUGAUGCUGAGGUGUGGACACGUGUGUGAUGCUGUGAUAGUGCACAUGUGUGUGAUGCUGAGAUGGUGUACACACAUGUGUGAUGUGGAGUUGUGGGCACACAUGUGUGAUGCUGAGACAGUGGGGACACAUGUGACACUGUGACAGUGCGCACACAUGUGUGAUGCUGAGAUGUGGACGCACAUGUUUGACACUGUGCACAUGUGUGUGACGCUGAGAUGUGGACACGUGUGUGAUGCUGUGACAGUGGACACACGUGUGUGAUACUUAGAUGGUGUGCACACAUGUGUGAUGCUGAGAUGUGGACGCAUGUGUGUGACACUGUGACAGUGUGCACACAUGUGUGAUGCUGAGAUGUGGACACACAUGUAUGAUGCUGUGACAGUGCACAUGUGUGACGCUGAAUGUGGACACGUGUGUGAUGCUGAGGUGUGGACGCACGUGUGUGAUGCUGAGACAGUACACAUGUGUGACGCUGAAUGUGGACACGUGUGUUGCUGUGCAGGAGGCACUGUAGCAGUGGCACACACCGUGGAGCGCUUACCUAAGCCCACGGGAGGUGCGACCCCAAGAGUAAGCCUUCCGUGGGCUGUGGGCUUGGUGAGGAUGCGGAGGCUCUGUUGGCUCAUGAUGUCCCCAGUCACCCUCAGGUGAGGACGGUGAUGGGGCACCUGGCCCAUGUAGGGGCAGGGGGCACCUGAGACAUCUCUGCUCUCCGCACAGUUUGCUGUGGGCCUGAAAUUGCUGUAAAAAAGCCUUUUUUCCAAGAAAGAAGGAAAAUUACAAAAAAGCCCAUGUUUUUCUUCAAAAAUAUUCCAGUUCUUAGAUGAAAUUCUCUCUUACAAUUUGUCUUGAAAUGUUGAUCACAUAUAUGUUAAUUGUAUCUGACAGUGUCAGUGACUCAGUUUCCUGUUAGUUAUAUAGUUAGAUAUAGUUAGAUUGUUGUAUUUUUUAAAAUAUUUAUUUUUUGUUUAUUUGAAAGAGUUAAAGAGAGAGGUAGAAAGACAGAGUUACAGAGAGGUAGAGAGAGAGGUCUUCCAUCGUCUGGUUCACUCCCCAGAUGGCUGCAAUGGCCAGAUCUGAGCCGGUCUGAAGCCAGGAGCCAGGAGCUUUUUCUGGGUCUCCCAUGUAGGUGCAGGGGCCCAAGGACUUGGGCCGUCAUCAUCUUUUUUUAAGAUUUAUUUUUAAGUCAGAGUUACACACAGAGAAAAGAGGGGGGAGAGAGAGAGAGAGAGAGAGAGGAGAGAGAGAGAGAGGUCUUCUAUCUGCUGGUUUACUCUCCAGUUGGCAGCAACGGCCGGAGCAGUGCCAAUGUGAAGCUGGGAGCCUGGACCUUCCUCCAGGUCUCCCACAUCUUCUUGGGCAUCUUCUACUGCUUUCCCAGGCCACAGCAGAGAGCUGGAUAGGAAGAGGAGCAGCUGGGACUAGAACCGGCGCCCACAUGGGAUACCAGCGCUUCAGGCCAGGGCUUUAACCCGUUGUGCCACAGCACCAGCCCCAGGUUGUUCUAUUGAUCUUUGUGGUUGGUGGUAUGGUGCCCACCUCCCAACGUGACCUUAUUUGGAGAUAGGGUCUCUGCACUUGUAGCUAAGGAUGCACUGACAGCCUACCAGGCUGUGGGAGGCCCAACCCCAGUGAGCGUGCCCUGGAAGAGGGAAGAGGACACACAGACACGGGGGGGAGGCUGGAGCCAUGUGGCUUCAAGCCACGGAGCCAGCAGAGCCACCAGGAGCUGCUUCCGGGGAGUGCAGUCCACUGAGCCUGGUUUCAGACUUCUGGCUUCCGCAAUGGAGAGCCCCUACAUUCCUGUGUUGUUUGCCCCAGGUGCGGUGAUCAUAUUUGUGGGACAGCAGCCAGAGAACCAGUCAGUCUUACUGCUGGGGAGGUUUUCCUUGGAUUUCUGGUCUGGCCUAAGAAGUGCACAGGCUGUGUGGGCUGUGAGCUUCUUCCAGGAGGAAUCCGCUCCCUGCUCCCACAGGCUGAGCCCUCAAUACCUCUGUUGGCACAGUGUGUGUGGAGCUGGCCGGAGAUGAGACAGGCUCUGUCGCCCCAGCAUGCCGACCCUACCCCACUCGCUCUUUUGCUGUAAGAUUCCUGGCAUAGAACCUAGCGGUGCAACACAGUCCCGCCUUCCUAGUCCAGAACGCCCACGUGUGUCUCAACAGCACAGGAACGCAUAAGAAAUUAAGUUUCCCACCACUGUUUGUGUCGCUUCCUCCGCCCCUUCCACGCUUUCUGGGGAAGCCCAGUGCUGGGGCUGGGGCUGGGGCUGGGACUUUGGAUCCCUCUCUCCAGAUCUUGGCCUCUCCAAUCCCGGGUGCUCUGUUAGUCUCGGACCGCACGCUGAAGGGGACGGAUGCUCCGCGGACGGUUUUCUGUUUCUGAGCUGUCUGGUUUCCUGUGCAGCACUGGCAAGCCUGUUCCCAUGGGGUCCAGGCAGCUUUUCCUGACUGGUUUCAUUGCCUGAAAUGUUGCGUUUGUUGUGAGGACGCUG